GUAGGGUCCAAGCGUUAAUCGGAAUUACUGGGCGUAAAGCGUGCGCAGGCGGUUGUGCAAGACCGAUGUGAAAUCCCCGAGCUUAACUUGGGAAUUGCAUUGGUGACUGCACGGCUAGAGUGUGUCAGAGGGGGGUAGAAUUCCACGUGUAGCAGUGAAAUGCGUAGAGAUGUGGAGGAAUACCGAUGGCGAAGGCAGCCCCCUGGGAUAACACUGACGCUCAUGCACGAAAGCGUGGGGAGCAAACAGGAUUAGGUACCCUGGUAGUCCACGCCCUAAACGAUGUCUACUAGUUGUUGGUGGAGUAAAAUCCAUGAGUAACGCAGCUAACGCGUGAAGUAGACCGCCUGGGGAGU
rnacentral:rRNA from 1 species